rnacentral:tRNA from 1 species
GCACUUGUGGUUCAGUGGUAGAAUUCUCACCUCCCACGCGGGAGACCCAGGUUCAAUUCCCAGCCAACGCA